UGGGGUCGGAGCUGAUCGGGCGCCUGGCCCCGCGCCUGGGCCUCGCCGAGCCCAACAUGCUGAGGAAAGCAGAGGAGUACUUGCGCCUGUCCCGGGUGAAGUGUGUUGGCCUCUCUGCACGCACCACGGAGACCAGCAGUGCAGUCAUGUGCCUGGACCUUGCAGCUUCCUGGAUGAAGUGCCCCUUGGACAGGGCUUAUUUAAUUAAACUUUCUGGUUUGAACAAGGAGACGUAUCAGAGCUGUCUUAAAUCUUUUGAGUGUUUACUGGGCCUGAAUUCAAAUAUUGGAAUAAGAGACCUAGCUGUACAGUUUAGCUGUACAGAAGCAGUGAACAUGGCUUCAAAGAUACUAAAAAGCUAUGAGUCCAGUCUUCCCCAGACACAGCAAGUAGAUCUUGACUUAUCCAGGCCACUUUUCACUUCUGCUGCACUGCUUUCAGCAUGCAAGUACAUACCUAGGAGUAUUAAUUAGCAUUUGUGGAAAACAUCUCUUCAAUUCAACAAAAGUAUGUGCAUAUACGGAGGGAGUAUAGCUGAUAUUGUAGAAAACAGUGAGAAUA
rnacentral:sRNA from 1 species